CCUACGGGUGGCAGCAGUGGGGGAUAUUGCACAAUGGGGGUAACCCUGAUGCAGCGACGCCGCGUGAGUGAAGAAGUAUCUCGGUGUGUAAAGCUCUGUCAGCAGGGAAGAAAAUGUACGUUCCUUGAGUAGGAAGCCCCGGCUAACUACGUGCCAGCAGCCGCGUUAAUACGUAGGGGGCAAGCGUAAGCCGGAUUUCCUGGGGUUAAAGGGGGCGUAGAGGGCGUUGCAAGUCAGAGGUGAAAGCCCAGGGCUCAACCCUGGGACUGCUUUUGAACCUGGGGGGCUAGAGUGCAGGAGGGGCAGGUGGAAUGCCUGGUGUAGCGGUGAAAUGCGUAGAUAUCAGGAGGAACACCAGUGGCGAAGGCGGCUUACUGGACAGUAACUGACGUUGAGGCUCGAAAGCGUGGGGAGCAAACAGGAUUAGAUACCCGGGUAGUC
rnacentral:rRNA from 1 species